rnacentral:rRNA from 1 species
UUUAUCCUACGGGGGGCAGCAGUGAGGAAUAUUGGUCAAUGGGAGAGAUCCUGAACCAGCCAUGCCGCGUGCAGGAAGACGGCUCUAUGAGUUGUAAACUGCUUUUGUACGAGGGUAAAUCCCGAUACGUGUAUCGGGUUGAAAGUAUCGUACGAAUAAGGAUCGGCUAACUCCGUGCCAGCAGCCGCGGUAAUACGGAGGAUUCAAGCGUUAUCCGGAUUUAUUGGGUUUAAAGGGUGCGUAGGCGGUUCGAUAAGUUAGAGGUUAAAUCCCGGGGCUCAACUCCGGCACUGCCUCUGAUACUU